rnacentral:rRNA from 1 species
AUUGAACGCUGGCGGCAUGCCUUACACAUGCAAGUCGAACGGUAACGGGCCUUCGGGUGCCGACGAGUGGCGAACGGGUGAGUAAUACAUCGGAACGUGCCCGAUCGUGGGGGAUAACGAGGCGAAAGCUUUGCUAAUACCGCAUACGAUCUACGGAUGAAAGCAGGGGACCGCAAGGCCUUGCGCGGACGGAGCGGCCGAUAGCAGAUUAGGUAGUUGGUGGGAUAAAAGCUUACCAAGCCGACGAUCUGUAACUGGUCUGAGAGGAUGAUCAGCCACACUGGGACUGAGACACGGCCCAGACUCCUACGGGAGGCAGCAGUGGGGAAUUUUGGACAAUGGGCGCAAGCCUGAUCCAGCCAUGCCGCGUGCAGGAUGAAGGCCUUCGGGUUGUAAACUGCUUUUGUACGGAACGAAAAGCCUUCUUUUAAUACAGGAGGGUCAUGACGGUACCGUAAGAAUAAGCACCGGCUAACUACGUG